GUUCCUAUGGAGAAAGCAUCCAGAAAACAUGGUGAAACCACAGAUCCAUGCCAGAUUUCUUCCUCUAAACCCGCUUUUCAGAGCGUCUUGCUCCUAUUGCUGUACUGGAUCUGCAAACGCUAUACAAGAGGACAAACAGAGGCACAUAUUUUCUCCACAGAAGCUUUAGAAGGGAAAUUUCUACCCAGGCUUACAGCACUAUGGCUGUACAAAGCAGUACAUCUCCGACAUAUGUCCAUGAAAACUCAGUCUGAGGUAUUCUCCCGAGUACCUCUCCAGAAGGAGCAUACCUAAUAAAGGGGUGCUGCUGAGGCACUGCAGCUCAGCAUAACGCUCCCCUGUGUCACAAACUGAUCCCUGGGAGUGUUUUAACAGGGUAGGAAAAGCUGAACCGACGUCCAGCCCUGAGCCAGGCUCACCUGGUGCUGCAGACCCACCGGAGCCAAACUUCCAAAACUUCCACACACCCUCAAGAUUUCCUAAAACAGUUCAAAUGAACGAUCGUAUCCAUGUAUGAAAGUAAAAGCUGGGGAGAAGGGGAACACAUCAGGAAUUACAAAGCUUUUCCCUGCAUUUAGCCCAUCGGUUAAGCCUGAGCAUUUAUUUGCAGCUGACGUUCUGUUUCCAUGGGCAGCUGAGAGCGCAGUUUGGGGAGGCCUCAUAGUACCCACAGCCAACCUGCAGCAACAAACAGCAUCUGCAGAGAGCAGAAGGAACUGCUGCUGACACCUAUAGUGUAUGAGCCGCUGGUCGGGAGAUUGCAUUACCUUAUCUAAGUAUGCAUUUCAACACUUCUUAUCAUUAUACGUUGUCCUUCUAUUUCUUUUUUUUCAGGUCUAAAUACAGCAUUCCCAAGGUAGGUACAAAGGUGUGGUGUGGUUUGUGCUGGAUAAACCAUGUCUGUGGAAGUUUCUUUGGUGAAUGUUUGGAAUUACAAGCCCUGCAGAACAAUGCCCAGUGGUUUCUAAGAACUCACCCUUUUCUCUUUGCAAGAGCAGGAGCAUGUGAACAACCUCUGAGAUGUGAAUGAGUGAGCUCAUCUUUGAUGUACACUGAUGCCUUACUGAAGGGGAUGCCUCCUUCUGGGAAGGAGGGAGUCACUUGGCUUGGCUGCAGGUGGCAGGAAACACUCAGCUUGCAUCUGUCCUGCAAGCAGCCGGACAGAGCAGGAGGUUCUGCUUAGGAGCAAAAUGACACUGUCCUGCCCUACCAGGAUGGUGGGACAUGUGCUCUCUGCUGCUGUCGUCUCUUACUCCGCGGGUCACAAGCAGAACAGGCAAUUAACAUGUUAGGAAGCCUGCCUACAGCCUAUUUUUAAUCUCACCACCUUCUGCAGCCUUCAGCUCCGGCACACUCCUAACACCCCACCAGCUCCCCAAACCCACAUGCCUUCUUGCCACCGGCCUUUCAUCCUCCCACCCGCUCUGUGCUGCAGUCAGCACGCAGCAGCCAUGCCGCAGCAUUGCAGCGAGGCACAGCGGGAGGCAGAAAAGGGGGAAGAAAAAGGGGAAUGGCUUUAAUCCCAAAGGGUGUUACUUCAGCCUCCUUGCUACUCGCUGAGAGAGAGGCUUGUUGUUUGCCCACUGGCUUUGGCACCUUCCACGUGGGAUCUGAGUGACAUUGCUUAAUGGACACGGUGAACUAAGCUGAUUUAGUGCUCUUUUGCAACCUCAACGAUUCUAUGAUGAUGAUUAUCCCAGAUCUCUGCCCUGCUUUCCCCACCUUAUUCUCUCCCAUAGCUUCUGUAGCACAGUCUGGGAUUAAAUAGGGCAGGGUCAGGAACUGGGUGUUCAUGUUUUCCCAUCAGGACAUUGGAUCUUGCCAAAUGGCGAUGCAUUUCUGUUUUUAAAACGGACGUGAAAAUCCUCCCCUCUCACCUUACCUUUGCUCUUCCAAGCUGUGGUACAACAAAAGGUUGUAAAUGAGCAGUAACUCUUAAGAAACAGCUUCGAUUCCUUCCAGUGAAGCUUUUAAUAUUUUGACAUCAUUAGAGCGAGGUGCUGAAUUAGCUGACGAGUCCCCUACGUACAGCAGUGACUAAGCUAAUAAUAUCCAAUCCCGUUCCAAGGAGAAGAAAGCAAACAAGGCAGCGAGGUGUCCGUGUCUGGAGGGGGAACUGAUACAGAAACCGGGGUUUUCUCAGGAGCCUUUGCCUCUGGAUUCCCAUUCAGACCACUUUCCUUCUCAUGGGAGCCAAUGCAUUUUCUUUGCUAGUUAUGAUUAAUUAACAUUUGGGAGGUGGUUGGCAUUUUUAAAUCAAGAAUUGAGACAAGCUGGCAGAUGCAGAAAGGAAGCAGUCUUUUAGUCAACGUAGUUUCCUUCUGAGGAAAAGCAUUUUAUCUGUGUUGCACCACACCACACCACUGGAGAAAAUGCCCUUCUGUAGCCUCAGCUUCACUUCAAAACGUGAGGCAGAAGGAAGCCUUAAACAUAUUUCCCCUCCAGAAACUCUCUUGGCUCCACAUUUCCAAAUAUGGAAGAGUUUGCAACUGGAAGCACAUUCUUGAAGAGGAGGAAGAGAAGCUGCAUCUGCUGAUACUGUGAGAAAAUUCACAAUGAGGACAGCAUACCCUGUGAAUAUCUGCACCAGCAGGAGAAGACUGAGGACCCAUGAAUUGCUGGUUUUCUGGGUCUUAUGCUGAGUAGUAAGUGAAUCCUGCAUUAAUACAACCCCUGUGAGGACAGAGGGGGAGGUGGUGGAGAAAGGACAUCAUGUGCCACAUAGCAAGCCUGUUAACUUAGCUAAAGGGCAUCAGAGCUCAUUGCAAGCAGUUGGAUGAGCCAAACAGCUUGCCUGGCACUAGCAGCCUGCAAGUGCACACGGCUGGGCUGCUGCACAGAUAUCAGAGGGAAGCGGGCCUCCAUUCUGAAGCAGCUGUAGACACCACCAAGAAGGGAAAGACACACAGCUGCUGCUAGUUAAGCUCCCUACCCCACAAAGGCGUGAAGGUUGGAGCUAGGGAGGGGUUGAGGAAGUGCCUUUUCCUUUCCCCUUAAGCUUGGGAGCCAUAUAAGAUCAUCUCUUGUGUUACUGUGAGGAAACAGGGUGCCACGCAGGAACAUCAGGCCAUGUCUCCCCCAUCCCAGGGUUGCUCUGCGCCCACCCACUGCAGGAGCUCAGGAUCCAUGUGCCAGAAGAACCAAGGAGAUGGAAACAGCCUUGCACUGGAAUCUCUAAUUUUAAAGAUUAUGAUCUUAAUUCACAAUUCUCAAGCACCUCCAGAAAUCAGUUUUCAGUUUUCUUGAUGUACAGCCAAAAACCAAACAAACCUUGAGCCAUUCAGCUUAUUGCUAUUGAUAUCAAAAUAACUUGGAUGUGUCUUUUCAUCCAACUAUUAGCAGCCUGGAACCUUCAAAAGCAGACUCUCUGCAGACAGCCCCUCCUCAUUUCAGAGCGGCCCUGAAAGCUGUAAGGAAAGCUUUUUGCUUUCCUCAUACCUUCAGUUCCCAAAGAGUCCUUGAAAUGAAAGCUGUCUAACAGUGAAAAAUAACAAGGAAAAUGCAGUGAUUUCACAAGGACUCUGAGAAAGGCUUUCACCAGUGAGCUGAAGUUCGUUCUUAAUUGUCUAUACCAGGGAAAGCUCUGUCUUGUCAGGCACAGAGCAGGAGUCAGGCGUCUGUGACACCGAACUCUCAACUUCUAGCAUAAGGGUUCAAACUGGCACUCCUUUACUGAACAAAGACAGAUCAGACACUUGCUUGUUUUCCUACCUCUGCCUUCGCACAGUUUAAAUAAGUGCCAGUAAUGCCCAUCUCAGGGUGCUCUAAUUUAGCAGGAGAAGAGCAAGAGUCUAAGAGCAGUGUAAAGGUCCUUCUGUCCUGUCUGCCUGCGUUGAAUCAAGCAUCCACAGUUCAAAGCAAGUCUAUACUCAUGUUGCCUCCCCCUCUGCUUUUCUGAUAGCUACCUUGCAGCUAAUUGAGCCCCUUGAAGCUACCUAACAGCAAUUGCUCUGCUUGUGGAAGAACACAUUAACUACUGCCGAGAUGUACUGAGCAGUGAGUCUUGUCUUGCUGCAAUACCCUGGAGUCCUUAACUGUGAAGACAAAUCAUGUUAAUUAGGGACUGCUAAGACAUAAGACAGAAUUAAUCUUGUUAGAAAGUUAGAUGGGGAAAUAGAGCAAUUAGAGGUUUUGCUACAGAACAAGAUAGCUGAAAUGGAGGCGUAAUAAACUGCACCAGCCUCCAAAAUCAUGGCAAAGUAGAAGGUGUCUUUUAAGCAGCAGCAGAAUGUAGAACACAAACAUGACACAGGUGUUUGGAUGCCUGCAGUGAUGACAGGAGACAGACACUUUUACACAGAAAACUCAGCGCAUACAUUUCGUGAGCUGAAGCGUCUCAAGUGGGGACUUAAAGACGACGUGGUAGAGUUGCACGCUACGGCCUGGAGGUGUGGUCUUGCUCCCGGGAGCCUGAGAUAUGAUCUGGGAGACCAGAAUUCAGUCCUAGCUUUGUUUACUCAGCCCUGCUCGGAUUUACGACCACUUGCCAACCAGUUCUGAACCUGUAGUAUUAUUCCUGUAGUAGCAUAAUUAAGAUGUUAAUUUUACCACUUUCAAUUGUUUCUUAACACAUUGCCAAAGAGGAACUCCCAGACUUUAGGAGGCUUCUUUACUUUGAAUAAGUAAAAUGAUAUGUGAUAAAGAAGCAUCUGUUUAAUUUCUGUUUUCUCUGUCCUCCCCAUUUCAGUUCUCGUACUUAGGAACCAAAGUAGGACUCUGUUUUCCUAGCAGCCAUCUCAAACUCUCUUGAUUUCUGUAGGGAAAUGGUUUCUUUCUCCAGAGUCGUAUCCUCUUGCCAGCACAAAGCUAACAGCUCUUGAACAUAAGACAUUUAGUGACUUUCAAUGUAUUCUUGAGGGGCUAUUCUCGUUCUUAAACAUCAGGUGCAAUCAUUCCCAUAGCAAUUGGUACCCCCAAGGAGAAAGCAUAAGUUGCUAAUUAUGCCAGAACAGGCGGAUGUUAAGUACGCAGCUCCAGCCCUUCGACGUUGCCCUCUGGGUGCAUGUGUGCUCGUAUCUAACAGCUUCUGAGGGGAGCUUCCUUUGUUCUAAGUUGAAUAGCACUUUAUAUCAAAGCGUGCUAUUGCCUUAAUAGAAAUAUUUGAAAGGAAUAUUGAUUUGGAUAAAAUAAUUCCUGCGGUAUCUAGCUACUCUGUUGUCUGAAAGCAAAGCUAAUGGGAGGAACACUGCUUAGCAGAUAAGCGUCAGGUCCUGUUCAUGAGCUGAAUUCUCCACAAGCAGCCCAUGUCUCUCUGCCAGUCAAGCUGCCCCCAACAUGGCAUAGGUAUGCAACCUGCAGGAUUUUGCAUGGAGACUUUUCUAAGGAUGUCCAUCAAACAAAACAAUUCACCUGAAUGUGCCCCCUGCAUAACAGCAACUCUAGGAAUUCUUGUAUUCUCAACUUGAGGAGUUGGCAACUGAUUGACUCUGAUUUGUUACAGGACAGACUUCUAUUCCCCUUACAAAGUAACUUCUGAUAUUAACCAUCGAGCUACAAGUAGUUGUUAUAUAAAAAUGCAUACACUUUUUCAAAAUACAGCAAAGGUCUGAGUUUCAAGCAUCUCCAUGUAGCAAGUAAUUAUCCUGAACGAAAUAGGAAUAGUACUGCCUCUUAUACAAUAAAUCAUGGAUAUCAUUAGUCAGAGGUUAGAGAAGACUUGCAUGGAGUGGGAUAUACUGAGGUAAGUGUUAUAUGAAGAGAAACUGGAAGCUGUCAUGGCUUUAUCUGUGUUUUAUUCUCUUUUUCUACUCAUGUUGAAUAGCUUACAAUAAGGCUAGACACAGCAGUAAAAUGAUUCAACUCUCCUGUGUAAGACUGUUAGAAACACCUAAGUAAAAGCUAAAGGAUGCAGCUGAGAUGAGAUUCAGACUUUAAAAUGUCCUUUCUUAUCUUACUGAAAGACCAUCAGACUGGGGCUGGGGGACCAAUCUUGAUAGCCAAAAAUUGAAGCCCUAUGUCUGAGCAUGUUGUCCAGAUGCUCCUUGAACUCCAGCAUUGGGCCAUGCCCACUGCACUCUGUUGAAGAACUUUUUCCUAACCCUUCCCUGACACAGUUCUAUGCCAUUCCAUUGGGUCACUUUAAGGCCUGCAGAGGAAAGGGAAUUCCUAUUUGCUAUUUCUAUGUUAGCCAGGGCUAGUACCUCAUUGUGGUAAGCAAUGUACGAACCUCAAAAUAUUCUCCUUGUUCUAAAGAAAAGAGUCUCUGAGUACAGAGGGAAAAAUUCUUGAAGGGGCAGGUUCAGCUGGGUGGCCAUCCAUCUGGCCUUCAUUCAUUCCUCUGUUGCUGUACAGCUAUUGUGCAAAAAAAGAAAAAAUCUACUUUGGGCCCAGUUUAAUCUCUGACCCAAACCCAUUGCCACAGAGUUACACCGGGGAUUAAUUUGGCUCAUUGGGUCUAACCUGACCUUGGCAGCAAUUCAAAAGUGCAAACAUCAGAAAUGUUGUUCUUUUAGUUAACAGUAGCAGGCCUUGGAAACCAUUGUCUGCUGUUCUCUGUGAAGCCGAUGAAUCAAACCCAUAUGUGGACUUGAAAAGGGCUACCGCAAACACGAAUGCAUGCAAUUUGAGCAAAAUUAGGAAUUUGGUCACAUACGCAUGCAACACCAUAC